AGAUUGAACGCUGGCGGCAGGCCUAACACAUGCAAGUCGAGCGGUAGAGAGGUGCUUGCACCUCUUGAGAGCGGCGGACGGGUGAGUAAUGCCUAGGAAUCUGCCUAGUGGUGGGGGAUAACGUUCGGAAACGGACGCUAAUACCGCAUACGUCCUACGGGAGAAAGCGGGGGACCUUCGGGCCUCGCGCCAUUAGAUGAGCCUAGGUCGGAUUAGCUAGUUGGUGAGGUAAUGGCUCACCAAGGCGACGAUCCGUAACUGGUCUGAGAGGAUGAUCAGUCACACUGGAACUGAGACACGGUCCAGACUCCUACGGGAGCAGCAGUGGGAAUAUUGGACAAGUGGGCGAAAGGCCUGAUCCGAGCCAUCGCCGCGUGUGGUAGAAGAAGGUCUUACGGAUUAGUAAAGCUAACGUUUUAAGGUUGGGAAGGUAAAGGUUGGUUAAACUUAAGUACGUUUAGCUAACUUUGACGUUACCGACUAAGAA
rnacentral:rRNA from 1 species